ACAGGUAUGGUGACAUGGUGCCGAAGACAAUUGCUGGGAAGAUCUUUGGCUCGAUUUGUUCCCUGAGUGGGGUCUUAGUCAUUGCCCUUCCAGUUCCUGUCAUUGUCUCCAAU